rnacentral:rRNA from 1 species
GGAUGAGAAUCAUUCACAAUGGGCGAAAGCCUGAUGGUGUGACGCCGCGUGGAGGAUGAAGGUCUUCGGAUUGUAAACUCCUGUCAAGUGGGGGUAAGGCACUGCGAGGAAAUGCGCGUGUGCUUGAGAGUACCACUAGAGGAAGGGACGGCUAACUUCGUGCCAGCAGCCGCGGUAAUACGAAGGUCCCAAGCGUUGUUCGGAAUCACUGGGCGUAAAGGGUGCGUAGGCUGCGCGGAAAGUCAGAGGU